AUUGAACGCUGGCGGCAUGCCUUACACAUGCAAGUCGAACGGCAGCAUGUCUAGCUUGCUAGAUUGAUGGCGAGUGGCGAACGGGUGAGUAAUACAUCGGAACGUGCCCUGUAGUGGGGGAUAACUAGUCGAAAGAUUAGCUAAUACCGCAUACACCUGAGGGUGAAAGUGGGGGACCGCAAGGCCUCAUGCUAUAGGAGCGGCCGAUGUCUGAUUAGCUAGUUGGUGAGGUAAAGGCUCACCAAGGCGACGAUCAGUAGCUGGUCUGAGAGGACGAUCAGCCACACUGGGACUGAGACACGGCCCAGACUCCUACGGGAGGCAGCAGUGGGGAAUUUUGGACAAUGGGGGCAACCCUGAUCCAGCAAUGCCGCGUGUGUGAAGAAGGCCUUCGGGUUGUAAAGCACUUUUGUCCGGAA
rnacentral:rRNA from 1 species